rnacentral:rRNA from 1 species
AUUCCAGCUCCAAUAGCGUAUAUUAAAGUUGUUGCGGUUAAAAAGCUCGUAGUUGGAUUUCUGUCAAAGGUGAGGUGGUCCAUCUUAUGGAUGUGUAUCUACCCAUGCCUUGGCAUCUUCUUCAAGAACGCUUUCGCGCUUCAUUGCGUGAUGCGGAAUUGAAGACUUUUACUUUGAGGAAAUUAGAGUGUUCACGGCAGGCAAUCGCUUUGAAUACAUUAGCAUGGAAUAAUACUAUAGGGCCUCGGCUUUAUUUUGUUGGUUUCUAAAGCUGAGGUAAUGAUUAAUAGGGAUAAUUGGGGGUCUUUGUAUUGCAACGUCAGAGGUGAAAUUCUUGGAUUGUUGCACGACAAACUACUGCGAAAGCAUUGGCCAAGGAUGUUUUCAUUA